CAUUGGGCAAAGAAGAAGGAGGCGGGACUAUUCGGUGACCCUGAGGAAGCUCCGUGGAGAGAACGCCGAGCGUGCGGUCGCUAUGGGGACGGGCGGGGGCAGCCCGCCGCAGUUACUAUGGGGAUGGGGGGGUCAAGUUCCCGGCUUUUAUUACUGAUCCACCAGAGGACCUUCCCUCUUAUCCCAUGACAGCUUACUUUGCUUAACAGGCUUUAUUGAAAGACCUUGUCAAAGGCUUGCAGUUAUUCAGCAGAGGGGCAGAACCUGUCAAGUGCCCGUAUCGAUAUCCUUCCUACUGCUGCUCCCUGGAAGAUAGCCAGAUUGUUCCUGAUCACAUUUCUCUCCAAUUCAAGCUUCCAACUUGCUCAGCUGGGACAGAACAACACUUUCUGCCGACGUACCAAGCCUGAAGCAGGCAGGUGAAUGGCUGGAAACCCGUGGCAUCUGCCUGGUCCGUCAGAGCUGCACCACCCAACAAGGCCUGGAUGGAGAGGGACUAAGCCAAAUAGCGAGCAGAUCCUAUUACAAGAGAGAAAGGAAAAAUGGCUGCUGAACAAAUCAUAUGAAUUCCUUCAGCCAGCUGUCCGCCAGUCCCUUAAAAAAGAGAGAGAGUGCACUCGUGCGCUGUGGAGGCAAUAAAAGAUGCAUUUGUGUCCCAUUCAUCACUAUGUCAUCUUCAGAUGCAUGCAGAUAUUGUUUAGCAGCUCUGUGAAUGGGUGCAAAUUAACACAUACUCCACAGCAUUUCCAUACCCAGUUCAUUCUCCAGCCUGUUCCCCACCCCCUUUACUAGGAAACCUCAUCAGAUAUUGCUUCUUCCCCUUCUUUUCAGACCCUUUUCCAGCCAGACAUGAUGGUUUCUUAUUGGCUUGUAUGUGUCAGGGAGCAACAUGAAUGAAAUAAGAUGGAAAAACAUGACAUCCUGCCCCCCUCAAUAAAGUUAUUGAACAAAGGUCAAAUCUCUGUGCAAAAUACUCCAAGCUGGCAAAAGCAGCAGUUGCUGCCAGUGAAAGGUACAGGACUGGAAUAGCAAUGUGUGGCAGGUCAGGGCCAAGGUGCAGUGAUCCAGGCAGGGGAACAGCUCAGUGAAAGAAUAGCACAGGGAUUUGCAAGUGACUGUAGAGUGCAUAGACUGAGCUGAACAGGGGGCACAGUCAGAACUGAGGGUUUUACAAAGCUGGGGCAUGGCACUGUUCUGGAUUAACUGGUGUGAUGCAAGUCAGGACUGAGAGGCAUCAGCAGAGAAACCUGCUGCUCACUAUACCUUGCUACAGCCUGUGCCAUUGCUCGUCUUCACAGAAACUGAAUUCUAGCGAAAAUAAAACCCACAGAACUCACAGGCUGUGAUUACAGAGCUCCUUAGGAGUCUCUGCAGCUUCCAGAGGGUCAUGGAGAACAUAACAGAGAGAAAAGCAGGAGAGUCUGGGGUUAGAGCACUAGCCUGGGCUGUGGAAGCCCUAGGCUCAGGUCCUGCUCUGCCACAAAAGUCGUGUGUGACCCUGCUCAAGUCACAUGUUCUUUCUGUGUCUGAGUUCCUCAGCUGUACGAGGGGAAAAUAGCACUGCCUGACCUCACAGGGGUGUUGGGAGGAUAAAUACACUGAAAGUGGGGAGGCAUUCAGAUUCUGCGGUACUGGGGUCCAUGUAAGUACCUAAGAUAGACCGCUUCAGCAACAGUUCAAAGCUACAUGCACAGGGAUGUCCAAUCCAGCAGGAAUGCCAUAGUUCAGGCAGGUACAAUUCUUCCAGGGACAGCAAGCUGGAUUAGCUUUGAGUUCCCCCUUCUUAUAGACAGGGGGUUUCUUCCAAAAACUCCCUGGGGAAAAGGGAAUUAUUUCUGCCUAUUGACCACAGCGGUUUAUAAACUAUAUAUCACAUAAGUCCAAUUCAUUACUCCAACAUGUUCUGUCAUGCUAAGUAUAAUAAUGAAAAUUAGUAUAAGAGAUACCUUCUGUAUGGUCAUUCAGUGACCAUGUACAAUAAACAUUAUCAAGCACUCCAGAAGGAACGAGUAAAGGGAGGGAUACGUCUCCCCAUGCAGUGUUCGGGCUCAUGGGUUCUGGGAGGGCUCACAGCUCCAGUCUUUUGAUGCACAUUGCCCUGACUUUAUUUCAAAAACCAAUUUUAAAAACAAUAGUACAUUGUCAGGAAUCAGCUCUUCACCUAUGCUUGGUUCUCAGAACAACAACCCAUACAGAGUGACUGCAGACAGGGCUGCAGGUAUUUCCUGGCUACAAGAACUAUGCUUCAAAACCUGAGUUUUCAUUUUAGAAAAAUUAUGUAACAAGCCCUCACAAUUGCAAAGACUAAUUUGAAACAGUGAGUCGAGUGUAAGUCUAUACAGCGAUGGCUGCCUCAAGCUGCAGCCAGUACAAAACAAUAGCUCUGAGAGGCACAUAUUCAUCUCACCUGGGUUGUUAACUCUGAAACCUAAAGAUGCCAAUGUAAAUGUCUAGAUUGUUAGCUAUUUCACUGCUACAGUUUUAAAGAAACAUCCAACUAAUACAUUUAUUCCGCACCAAAAUGCCUGAAUGCCCCAAACCAGCUGCCUCCAAGAAGCAAUUCUGGACCGUCAGUACAGAAAGCUGUGGCAUUUUGAAAAACUAAAGGUAUGGGAAAUGUGCAAAAUAAUUGAAUUUAGUAUCAAAAUAAGUAACGGGCUACUGCAUGGAUUGUUUUAGUCACAGCAUUUCCAGUCUGCCUUGGAUUCCAAGGACACCUCUAGAAUGUCCUUAGCUUUCAUGGUAAAUUUUCUACAUGUAUAACCUAUGGGAUAUGGGAAUUAUCUCAUUUAUCAGUGUAGGACUGUGCUUCACAGCUCACUGAUGCUCCUGCACUACUCUUGCUGUGAUCUCUUAGGGCCCCAGUAGUCUAACUGUAUGUCCAGUGCAUUAGACUAAGUGAUCCACCUUCACCUGCAAAAAAAAAAAAACACACUCUCUCCCCCUCCCCAAUCCCCCCCAUCUUGGAAAUGACUACAACUGAUCCUGUUAGAUUAAGACAAAUUAAGAAUCUAAUACAUAGGUUUGCUGUUGGGUCUUAAGGGUCAGGGGUCGAUAUGGUAUAUUGCGGUACAGCUGUAGGUUACCCAGGCCUCAAUAUUUUAUCACAAUAAACCAAAUGGGGAUGAGACGCCCGGCAGUAGCCCAUAAAUCUAUUCGCAGUGAACUGUCAAUGUCCCAUAUACUAGGGUAAUUUGUUAAUUCAGAGCUGGGUGUCUUUUUUCACUAGACCUUGUAAACUCCUUUCUGAAA